AGCCCUACGGGACGCAGCAGUGGGGAACAUUGGGCAAUGGGCGCAAGCCUGACCCAGCAACGCCGCGUGAAGGAAGAAGGCUUUCGGGUUGUAAACUUCUUUUAAGAGGGAAGAGAAGAAGACGGUACCUCUUGAAUAAGCCACGGCUAACUACGUGCCAGCAGCCGCGGUAAUACGUAGGUGGCAAGCGUUGUCCGGAUUUACUGGGUGUAAAGGGCGUGCAGCCGGGAAGACAAGUCAGAUGUGAAAUCCCGCGGCUCAACCGCGGAACUGCAUUGGAAACUGUUUUUCUUGAGAACAGGAGG
rnacentral:rRNA from 1 species